AGCGAACGCUGGCGGCAGGCCUAACACAUGCAAGUCGAACGAACCUUUCGGGGUUAGUGGCGGACGGGUGAGUAACACGUGGGAACGUGCCUUUAGGUUCGGAAUAACUCAGGGAAACUUGUGCUAAUACCGAAUGUGCCCUUCGGGGGAAAGAUUUAUCGCCUUUAGAGCGGCCCGCGUCUGAUUAGCUAGUUGGUUGAGGUAAUGGCUCACCAAGGCGACGAUCAGUAGCUGGUCUGAGAGGAUGAUCAGCCACAUUGGGACUGAGACACGGCCCAAACUCCUACGGGAGGCAGCAGUGGGGAAUCUUGCGCAAUGGGCGAAAGCCUGACGCAGCCAUGCCGCGUGAAUGAUGAAGGUCUUAGGAUUGUAAAAUUCUUUCACCGGGGACGAUAAUGACGGGACCCGGAGAAGAAGCCCCGGCGAACUUCGU
rnacentral:rRNA from 1 species